rnacentral:rRNA from 1 species
UACGUAGGGGGCUAGCGUUGUCCGGAUUUAUUAGGCGUAAAGAGCGUGUAGGCGGCCAGGUAGGUCUGCUGUGAAAACUCGAGGCUCAACCUCGAGACGUCGGCGGAAACCAUCUGGCUAGAGUCCGGAAGAGGAGAGUGGAAUUCCUGGUGUAGCGGUGAAAUGCGUAGAUAUCGGAAGGAACAUCAGUGGCGAAAGCGGCGCACUGGACCACAACUGACGCUGAGGCGCGAAAGCUAGGGGAGCAAACAGG